GAUGAACGCUGGCGGCGUGCCUAAUACAUGCAAGUCGAGCGAACAGAUGAGGAGCUUGCUCCUCUGACGUUAGCGGCGGACGGGUGAGUAACACGUGGAUAACCUACCUAUAAGACUGGGAUAACUUCGGGAAACCGGAGCUAAUACCGGAUAAUAUAUUGAACCGCAUGGUUCAAUAGUGAAAGACGGUUUUGCUGUCACUUAUAGAUGGAUCCGCGCCGCAUUAGCUAGUUGGUAAGGUAACGGCUUACCAAGGCAACGAUGCGUAGCCGACCUGAGAGGGUGAUCAGCCACACUGGAACUGAGACAAGGUCCAGACACCUACGGGAGGCAGCAGUAGGGAAUCUUCAGCAAUUGACGAAAGCCUGACUGAGCAACGCCGCGUGAGUGAUGAAGGUCUUCGGAUCGUAAAACUCUAUUAUUAGGGAAGAACAAAUGUGUAAGUAACUAUGCACGUCUUGACGGUACCUAAUCAGAAGGCCGCGGUUAACUACGUG
rnacentral:rRNA from 1 species